rnacentral:rRNA from 1 species
AUGAUCACGCUCAAGAGCUCGGACGGCGAGGAGUUCGAGGUGGAGGAGGCGGUGGCCAUGGAGUCGCAGACGAUCCGCCACAUGAUCGAGGACGACUGCGCCGACAACGGCAUCCCGCUCCCCAACGUCAACUCCAAGAUCCUCUCCAAGGUCAUCGAGUACUGCAACAAGCACGUCCAGGCCAAGCCCGCCGACGGGGCCGCGGCCGCCGCCGGAGCCUCGGACGCCGCCGCCCCCACCGCCCCCGCGGAGGACCUCAAGAACUGGGACGCCGAGUUCGUCAAGGUCGACCAGGCCACCCUCUUCGACCUCAUCCUGGCUGCCAACUACCUGAACAUCAAGGGGCUGCUGGACCUAACCUGUCAGACUGUUGCCGACAUGAUCAAGGGCAAGACCCCGGAGGAGAUCCGCAAGACCUUCAACAUCAAGAACGACUUUACGCCCGAGGAGGAGGAGGAGAUCCGCAGGGAGAACCAGUGGGCCUUUGAGUAG